rnacentral:rRNA from 1 species
UAUGUAACCUACCCUUGUCAGGGGGAUAGCCUCUCGAAAGAGAGAUUAAGACCGCAUAACAUUGUGAUGUAGCAUUAUAUUACAAUCAAAUAUUUAUAGGACAGGGAUGGGCAUGCGGAACAUUAGCUAGUUGGUAAGGUAAUGGCUUACCAAGGCAACGAUGUUUAGGGGAUCUGAGAGGAUGACCCCCCACACUGGUACUGAGACACGGACCAG